rnacentral:rRNA from 1 species
AGCAGCCGCGGUAAUUCCAGCUCCAAUAGCGUAUAUUAAAGUUGUUGCAGUUAAAAGCUCGUAGUUGAAUUUCGGGAUCAGUACGCUGGUCAUGCCUUUGGUAUGCACUGGUGUCACUGGUUUCUCCCUUCUGAAGAACCGUGAUGUCAUUAAUUUGGUGUCGCGGGGAAUCAGGACUGUUACUUUGAAAAAAUUGAGUGUUUAAAGCAGGCUCACGCUUGAAUACAUUAGCAUGGAAUAAUGAAAUAGGACGUUUGACCCUAUUUUGUUGGUUUCUAGGAUCGACGUAAUGAUUAAUAGGGACAGUUGGGGGCAUUGUAUUCAAUUGUCAGAGGUGAAAUUCUUGGAUUUAUUGAAGACUAACUACUGCGAAAGCAUUUGCCAAGGAUGUUUUCAUUAAUCAAGACGAAGUUAGGGAUCGAAGACGAUCAGAUACCGUCGUAGUCUUAACCAUAACCUAUGCCGACUGGGAUCGGGAUGAUGUUUAAUUUAGUAUGACUC